GACGAACGCUGGCGGCGUGCUUAACACAUGCAAGUCGAACGGAAAGGCCCUGCUUUUGUGGGGUGCUCGAGUGGCGAACGGGUGAGUAACACGUGAGUAACCUGCCCUUGACUUUGGGAUAACUUCAGGAAACUGGGGCUAAUACCGGAUAGGAGCUCCUGCUGCAUGGUGGGGGUUGGAAAGUUUCGGCGGUUGGGGAUGGACUCGCGGCUUAUCAGCUUGUUGGUGGGGUAGUGGCUUACCAAGGCUUUGACGGGUAGCCGGCCUGAGAGGGUGACCGGCCACAUUGGGACUGAGAUACGGCCCAGACUCCUGCGGGAGGCAGCGGUGGGGAAUAUUGCACAAUGGGCGGAAGCCUGAUGCAGCAACGCCGCGUGCGGGAUGACGGCCUUCGGGUUGUAAACCGCUUUCGCCUGUGACGAAGCGUGAGUGACGGUAAUGGGUAAAGAAGCACCGGCUAACUACGUG
rnacentral:rRNA from 1 species